GACGAACGCUGGCGGCGUGCUUAACACAUGCAAGUCGAACGGAAAGGCCCUGCUUUUGUGGGGUGCUCGAGUGGCGAACGGGUGAGUAACACGUGAGUAACCUGCCCUUGACUUUGGGAUAACUUCAGGAAACUGGGGCUAAUACCGGAUAGGAGCUCCUGCUGCAUGGUGGGGGUUGGAAAGUUUCGGCGGUUGGGGAUGGACUCGCGGCUUAUCAGCUUGUUGGUGGGGUAGUGGCUUACCAAGGCUUUGACGGGUAGCCGGCCUGAGAGGGUGACCGGGCACAUUGGGACUGAGAUACGGCCCAGACGCCUACGUGGGGCAGCAGUGGAGAAUAUUGCACAGUGGGCGGAAGCCUGAUGCAGCAACGCCGCGUGCGGGAUGAAGGCCUUCGGGUUGGAAACCGCUUUCGCCUGUGACGAAGCGUGAGUGACGGUAAUGGGUAAAGAAGCACCGGCUAACUACGUG
rnacentral:rRNA from 1 species